UGGAGAUCUCUGCUAACCUGAGGCUUUUGGAAGAAUCUUAAUGCAUGUAGUUGUGCCACUUGCAUCUGUCUUCAUGUUCAAAAUCUUGACUGAUUGGAGACUACAGCAGAGGUCAAAAAUACUAAGAGAACAACUGCUUGGCAACAGUGAACAGUAAAUACUGAAAAUGAAACACUGGAAAACGGAAAGGAGUUUAAAACUUCAGUGCACAAACUGGUCUGUGGAAAAAUAAAAAUGAAGACACUUUUCUUCUCCCAAUCUACUGUGCUGUGAUGUGGACUUAAAGACAGGAGACUUUUUCAUGAGAUGUCAAUACUUCAGCAUUUUUUUUUCCACACAUAUGAUAUGUCCAGAAUCAGAAUAGCAGCAACUAGCAGUCAUUGAUGGAGUCUCCUGUUCCAUACACCUACCUCCACU